GAUUGACCGGCACUAGGAGAGUAUGGAGUCACCUUUGUGACUCUCCUUCUUCAGGCAUUUGGCUGCAACCUGGAAGGAAGGGAGGAGAUGCUCCUCCAGCACCAGGUCAGAGCCAUGUCAUAGCCCAAAGCUGCAAGCAAGGACUGCCCCAGGGAAAUCAAAGGAGAAAGAAGAUGAUUUGGUGAUCCCAGCCUGGCUCUCCAGCAUCAGGCCAUCAUCCACAAGAUCGAGCACUGAGUGUCCAGCAUCACCCAAAGUUGAACAAGUGUCCUGAUGAGACAGAAAAAAAGAAAAAUCAAAGGGAGGGAAGCAACACCGGAGCCACGAAAAACUCUUCACUUCUGAUUUAAUAUUCGGCGCUGCCAACUUAAAACCCGGGG